rnacentral:lncRNA from 1 species
UCAAAGGUCAAAGGGAAAUGUUAGCUGAGUUUGUGGCCCUUGUUUUUAGGGAAGCAACAGAUGUCCUAGAAGCCUCUUCAACUAGUCUGCUUACAUCUUCUUUGCCAGAAGCAAAAUACGGCCCCUUUGACCCACAAAGGAAUCUGGAAAGGAUCUCCCGGAGCAGAGCUGCGGCAGUCUCCGUUGCCUCCCUGCAAUGUCGGAGCAAGAUUACCUCCUGCAGGACACCUGCAGUGAUGCCAGGGCAAUGGAGCAGGCUUCACUUGUCCCCACGGCUCUCACCGGCAGGAGAGAAAACUGAGCCUUGGAGAGGUUUAGGACGUUGCUAAGGACACACCACUGGUAAGGGAUUAAGAUGGUGGAAUAGAAGGAUUGGAGCUCAACUUCUCUCCUAAAAACAACAGUAUUUAUAGCCAAAUGCUGAGCAAUCUUCAACCAAAUGGAAUGGAAACUUUCAAAAAGAUAGCCUACUGCAGAAGACAAAGAGGAGGCCACAUCAAGAGAGCAAAGGUCUCAAAGCCCACAGAAUUGACACAAAUUGUAUGAGGCCACUCAGAGUUGGAAUAGAAGGAUGGACACAACCCCAACAGUACAAGCCCUUCCAUCUAAUGCAUUUCCACAAAGAAGCCAAGUCGAAGGAUGAUUGCUGGUUAUUUUUCUUAUGAAGAUGUGACACUCUUCAGAGCCCUUACCUGCAUAGCUGGUGGGUGGUCCAUUAGAAAGUUCAGACUUAUCUUCAUUAGGCCCCUUUUAAAACCUUCUGAAGACUCUUCACUUCUUAUAAUGUAACAUCCAUGAUUCUUUGCAUGACACACAUGGUCAUCCCUGAUAAAAUGCCAGACUGCUUCAUCUGCUCCAUCUCAGCCUCGACAUUACCUCAUCAGUGAAGUUCCUUGCUUUCUUACAGGUAGCUUGAAGUGUCUCAUCAUUUGCUUUUGUUUAUCCUGUGCUUCUAUCUGAAAUUCCCUGUCUUUCUCUGAUCUCCUAUUUCUUUCUCCAGGAUAAUGCUCAUUCAUCCUUCAUAAGCCAGGCAUGAAUUAUUUCCUAAAUAAAUAAGUGAAUGAAUGGAACAAGCAUCCGAUGUGGCAAAGCAUUAUCAUGAUGUUUCCUACAACCCUUUUAGAGUCUAUGAAUGAGAAGGAGACUCAGAGUGACUGUCCCAUCCUGAAGUAGCCCUGGUGGUACCCAAAUACAGAGUCUUGACUGUAUGAGCUUGUGAUGCCCUCUUGGCUGCUUGUGUAGUAAAUAUCACUGAGAUAUUCAGCCAGAUUUAGUAUCAUCUUUCAUUUAACAGGGGUAAUAAAACCUACAACAAAUGGUAGUUGUGAGGAUCUGAUUAGAUCCUGGGUAUGAAAAUGCUAUACAAAUGUUAAUUGAAAUCAUUCUUUUUAGACUUCCUGCUGUGGUACAAAGAAAUCUGCAGCACCUCUGGAGCUCAAGAAUGCAGGUUCCAUCCUCAGCCCAGCACAGUGGGCUAAUGAUUCCGCAUUGCUGCAGCUGCUGCAUAGGUCACAUCUGUGGCUUGGAUCUGAUCCCUGGCCAGUGAACUCCAUAUAUCUGUGGAGAAG